CUAAAGGUGUGACACCACACACACACACACACACACACAUACCUCGGUGUGUGUCAUAGCAACCGAUCAUAGUAACCAACGUUGUAUUCAGCAUCAUAUCAUAGUAACCUUUGAAAACAUAUCUGAGGAAACUAUAUAUUGCACAUCACCUCAAUGAGGAUGCAUUCAAUAAACUAACUUCAAGUGAAGUGUAAAUCAAAGUAGUCAGUUGUCGUUUUGUCGUCAGCAUCAAGCAAGAAAGGUUCUUUCGAUCCUAUAUUCGUGCCAAGUGUAUUUCGUCUGCGUGUGUUUGAAAAAAAGAAAUGGAGUAUAUCUUGCUGUUUGUUGUGGGACAGGAUGGCAUGAUUACACGCUUUAGGAUUAAAAAGCGCUUACCACUCCGCAAGCUCAUGAACACAUUUUGCGUUCUCUUUGGUGUGGUACCGUUGGAAGCGUUGUUUGCAUACAAUGGACUGGUGAUACAAGGAACCGACACCGCAGCAUCCCUCGAGAUGCAUGAUGGAGACGCGAUUUCUGUCUACUGGGCACCCAGCAUUAUUACACCGAAUUGAUUUACGUAUAAGAUGCGUAAGGUGAGAAAAUCUCACGUCCCCCAAGAAGCGCGCGCAGAGGAAAUUGCAUACAUUCAUUAUGAAUCUGACGGGAGUCUAGUGCAGUGUGGUCAUAAUUUAUGCCCAAUAAAUAAUUUAAGGUAGCAAAGGCUUCCACCACCGUC